AAGACUAUACUUUCAGGGAUCACUUCUGUAGUUUGUUACUAGGGAAAUUUCUGAGUGUGUAGAGCACGAUAAACCAUCAGGAGGAGGUGCCGUGUUCUCUCCUAAGCGUGAAGCUGGCUUUUGGUGUUGCUUUGCUGCAACUGCCACUUGCCAUUGAUAAUUGUUCUUCUCUUCAGAGAGAGAGGACACAGUCUAAGUGGC
rnacentral:snoRNA from 1 species